rnacentral:rRNA from 1 species
AUUGAACGCUGGCGGCAGGCCUAACACAUGCAAGUCGAACGAGUGGCGGACGGGUGAGUAAUGUCUGGGAAACUGCCCGAUGGAGGGGGCUAACUACUGGAAACGUUAGCUAAUACCGCAUACCAUCGGAUGUGCCCAGAUGUGAUUAGCUAGUAGGUGGGGUAACGGGUCACCUAGGCGACGAUCCCUAGCUGGUCUGAGAGGAUGACAAGCCACACUGGAACUGAGACACGGGCCAGACGCCUACGGGAGGCAGCAGUGGGGAAUAUUGAACAAUGGGCGCAAGCCUGAUGCAGCCAUGCCGCGUGUAUGAAGAAGGCCUUCGGGUUGGAAAGUACUUUCAGCGAGGAGGCGUUACUCGCAGAAGAAGCACCGGCUAACUCCGUGCCAGCAGCCGCGGUAAUAC